GAUGAACGCUGGCGGCGUGCCUAAUACAUGCAAGUCGAGCGAAAAGACGAGGAGCUUGCUCCGCUCACGUUAGCGGCAGGCGGGUGAGUAACACGUGGAUAACCUACCUAUAAGACUGGGAUCACUUCGGGAAACCGGCGCUAAUACCGGAUAAUAUAUUGAACCGCAGGGUUCAAUAGUGAAAGACGGUUUUGCUGUCUCUUAUAGAUGGAUCCCCGCCGCAUUAGCUAGUUGGUACGGUAACGGCUUACCAAGGCAACGAUGCGUAGCCGACCUGUUAGGGUGAUCGGCCACACGGGAACGGGGACACGGUCCUUACUCCUACGGGAGGCAGCAGUAUGGUAUCUUCCGCAGUAGGCGGAAGCCUUACGGAACAACGCCACGUGUGUUGUGGAGGUCUUCGGAUCGUGAUACUCUGUUAUUAGUGAUGAACAAAUGUGUAAGUAACUAUGCACUUCUUGACGGUACCUGGUCAGAAAGCCACGGCUAACUACGUG
rnacentral:rRNA from 1 species